CAAUAACUUCAAAUUUGGUUCUAAUUUUGUUAUAUUUCUAGGUUCAAGUGAGGUUUUUGAAUCAAUUCAAGAGAAUCCUUUGCUAUCUUGAUUUGGUGGAAUUACCAAGCUUCAAGGUUUGUGAAUUGGCGUGGAGUAUACGUUGCUUGUUGGUGAGAAUUUCGAGUCCACUUCGAGGUAGGGAUUUCUUACCCUUUUAUAUCGAAAUAUUUUAAAGCUACCGAAUUGCUUAAAUGGUAAGUUUUGGUUUCCGUCUCAAUCUUUUUCGGGAGGAAACAAGCCUUGAGGGCUUACCAUUGUUUAUUUACCUACUUGUGAAUGAUAUAUUAUAUGUGAUUUAGUUUGGUGAUUAUAUAACCUUGGAAUACUUGGUCAUAAAUCGACCAUUAUGUAAAUCUUCAUGCAUCAUGACGAAUGAAUAUUUUAAAUAUAUGUGUUGCACGAAUGAUAUAAAUUGUAAGAAUUUACAUGAGAUGUAUGGUGGGUUCCAAGGGUGGUCCCUGGCUAGUUAUUUGAUACUAGGCCAGGAGUGGCAGGCUGAGAUAUCACUGUGGGGCCAGCAGUGAGUGGUUGCGACCACAUGUGUGCCAACCUUCUCUCUAGUGGUUUGUGAUUUACGAUGUUGGAUGACUCGUAUUUGAUGUUGGUAUUGAUUGGAUGCUAGAGAGAGAGGUAGUGCGGUGGAUUCUCGUCGGCUUAUCACCACAGGGAGGGAAUCUGAUCCACCGGCUUGGGUGUCAUUGGAGGCGGAUAUGUAGGUUCGGUUGGGCUGAUCGGGUCCAUUAGUUUGCAUUGCAUUUUGUUGCAUUGAUUAAACGUUGUUUCUUCUCCAACCUUAUUAUUCUUUACUUGUGCUCUUGUGUUUCGUCCCUACUGAGCAUUCUGCUAACCCUAUCUAUUUCUCUCCCCACAAGUGAGACAGGAUCUAGUGCACAGGUUGCGGAUCAGCAGGAGGACGCGUGACGGAGGUCGCCUGGACUUUUGUGUUUAUUUGACACGUAUGUGUGGAUAUAUAUAUAUAUGUAUGGCAUGAUGUUGGCAUAUUUUAGUUGUUUAAGUGCAUUGAUGUAUUAUGGUUAUGGCUGGAUUGAUAUAUGGUGUUGUUUUAUUGGUCGGGAGUGAUGGGUCGUGACUACUAUGUGUUGGAUGAUGAUGAUGGGGUAUGUGUUUGACGGUGGACCAAUGAGUCAGUUGAUUUUGAUGGUAUUAGAAGUGUUUUUCUUUGUGUGUGAUUUGUUUACAGGUUGGUUUCCCCAAUUUAUGGGAGAUGCUGUCGAAAUUUUUGGAAAAAUUUUAGGUUGAUUUGGGAUGUAACACGUGAGAUGCACGUGGUUGUAUUUGUUGUGUUGGUUGUUGCGUCUUUGUCCUUUUCUUCACAUUCGACGGAUCGGGGUGUGAUAAUUUGGUAACGGAGCCAGGUUUAGCUCUGUUUGGGACCUAGGGAGUGGGUUAGUAUGCAUGUGUGAAUGUGUUUGUUGUGUGGUGAUUAUCUAUGGUUCUCCAAGCCAGGUCACGACCUCUGCUGAUCCGGUAUGUUUUCUUUAAUCCCUUAAAUCCUCGAAUCGUAUUUGUAUGAUGAAAAGUUGUGUCUUCUGUGCUACAGAUAGACACACGUAGGACUAUUCGUUCCCGUGAUGGGGGAGAUGGGGGCAAGUAGGGACGCGUGUCUUCCGAGGACCCAAUAGUCAGGGGAUUAUCAGGGAUUGGAACAGCCGAUUCGAUUAGGCUGGACACACAUUUAUUUCCAGUGCAGGAGGAGAAUUUAGGCCAGGAGCUUGGAGAUGAGCCGACACUCGUGCAAGAGAUGGGUGAGGAGAUCCCAGCACCUACCCAGCCUAUAAUAGCAACGCACCUUGUUCCACUAUUGGCAGCGCAGGAACAGUCUAUAAAGAGAAUGUCAGAGAUGAUCGGGGCUGUUACUUGACUAGUGCAGACUCAGAUUGCACGAGCACCAGAGGUCCACAGUGAGGGACAGACUUCAGGGGUGAUACGGAUGUGGCACGUGCAUAUGAGUGGAUUCAGCAGAAGUCACACCGAUUUGAGACUCUGGGGAUUCCGGAUGUGAGACGCGUAUUACUGGCUUCAUAUUAUCUAAGGGGGGCAGCUUAUGAUUGGUGGGAUUCAUUAGAUCAUAGGAGAGAGACUUUGACGUGGUUAUCAUUUGAUGAGUUGUUCAUGCAGCAUUUUGUGCCGUAGUCUUAUCGUAUGGAUAGAGCCCGUGAGUUCUUGACAUGUCAGCAAACUCUGAAUAUGACUGUGAGUCAGUAUGAGAGGAAGUUUGAGGAGGUAUGCGCCAGAUGAGGCGAGCAAGACAGAGCAAUUCAGA